GACAGAGGAGCCAAGCGUUGUCCGGAGUACUGGGCGUAAAGCGUCCGCAGGUGGGGGCGUAAGGUGGGGUGUGAAGCCGGUGGCUUAACUGCCGGAGGCCAUCUCCGACUGCGCGCCUGGAGGACGGGAGAGGGGCGUGGAAUUGCCGGUGUAGUGGUGAAAUGCGUAGAGAUCGGCAGGAACACCAGUGGCGAAGGCGACUUCCUGGCCUGUUCUUGACGCUGAGGCGCGAAAGCUAGGGGAGCAAACGGG
rnacentral:rRNA from 1 species